GUUGUUUUGAAAGCUUGCUUUCAAAACAAACUAGCGGCGGACGGGUGAGUAACACGUAGGUAACCUGCCUGUAAGACUGGGAUAACUACCGGAAACCGGUAGCUAACUACCCGGAAUCAUUUUGUUUUCUUUCUCACUGAAAGAGACAACUGAAAAGGGCGGAAGUUCAUCUGCCCACUUCCUAGAUUGGGCCUGCGGCGCAUUAGCUAGUUGGUUGAGGUAACGGCUCACCAAGGCGACGCUGCGUAGCCGACCUGAGAGGGUGAACGGCCACACUGGGACUGAGACACGGCCCAGACUUCCUACGGGAGGCAGCAAGUAAGGGACAUUCUUCCGCACAUGGACGAAAGUCUGAACGGAGCACAUGCCGUCGUGAGUGCAUGAAGGUUUUCGGCAUCGUAAAGCUCUGUUGCCCAGGGAAGCACGCUUGGGAGAAGUAACUGCUCUUACAAGGUGACGGCUAACCGUAGAAGAAGCCCCCGGCAUC
rnacentral:rRNA from 1 species